rnacentral:rRNA from 1 species
AUUCCCCGUUACCCGUUGAAACCAUGGUAGGCCACUAUCCUACCAUCGAAAGUUGAUAGGGCAGAAAUUUGAAUGAACCAUCGCCGGCACAAGGCCAUGCGAUUCGUUAAGUUAUCAUGAAUCACCAAGGAGCCCCGAAGGGCAUUGGUUUUUUAUCUAAUAAAUACACCCCUUCCAGAAGUCAGGGUUUUAUUGCAUGUAUUAGCUCUAGAAUUACCACAGUUAUCCAUGUAGCAAGGUACCAUCAAAUAAACUAUAACUGAUUUAAUGAGCCAUUCGCAGUUUCACAGUACAAACUUGUUUAUACUUAGACAUGCAUGGCUUAAUCUUUGAGACAAGCAUAUGACUACUGGCAGGAUCAACCAG